AUUGAACGCUGGCGGCAUGCCUAACACAUGCAAGUCGAACGGCAGCACGGGAGCUUGCUCCUGGUGGCGAGUGGCGGACGGGUGAGUAAUGCAUAGGAAUCUGCCCAGUAGCGGGGGACAACUUGGGGAAACUCAAGCUAAUACCGCAUACGCCCUACGGGGAAAGCGGGGACCGUUCGGGCCUCGCACUAUUGGAUGAGCCUAUGUCAGAUUAGCUUGUUGGUGGGGUAAAGGCCUACCAAGGCGACGAUCUGUAGCUGGUCUGAGAGGACGAUCAGCCACACUGGGACUGAGACACGGCCCAGACUCCUACGGGAGGCAGCAGUGGGGAAUUUUGGACAAUGGGCGCAAGCCUGAUCCAGCAAUGCCGCGUGAGUGAAGAAGGCCUCGGUUGUAAGACUCUUUCAGUCGAGAAGAAAGGGACGUGCAGUGAAUAACU
rnacentral:rRNA from 1 species